rnacentral:rRNA from 1 species
UUGUUGCGGUUAAAAGCUCGUAGUUGGAUCUUUGCGUUGCGGUAUGGUUCGUUCUUUGAACGUUACUAUGCUGUGAUGCUCUUAUUUGCAGGUUUUCGGCUAGUGUUCUUAACGGGACGUUAGUUGUGGCUUGCGAGUUUACUUUGAAUUAAUUAGAGUGCUUAAAACAGGCGUUUUGCUUGAAUAUUCUAGCAUGGAAUAAUGGAAUAGGAUUUCGGUUCGAUUUUAUUGGUUUUAUGGAGCGAAAUAAUGAUUAGUAGGAAUAAACGGGGGCAUUCGUAUUGUUACGUUAGAGGUGAAAUUCUGGGACCGUAGCAAGACGAUCGACUGCGAAAGCAUUUGCCAAGAAUGUUUUCAUUAAUCAAGAACGAGAGUUAGGGGUUCGAAGGCGAUCAGAUACCGCCCUAGUCCUAACCCUAAACUCUGCCAACUAGCGAUUCGUCGAUGGUAAUUAUGCCUUGAUGAGGAGCUAAUCGGAAACGAAAGUCUUCCGGUUCCGGGGGAAGUAUGGUUGCAAAGCUGAAACUUAAAGAAAUUGACGGAAGGGCACCACCAGGAGUGGAGCCUGCGGCUUAAUUUGACUCAACACGGGAAAACUCACCCGGCCCGGACACUGUAAGGAUUGACAGAUUGAAAGCUCUUUCUUGAUUCGGUGGAUGGUGGUGCAUGGCCGUUCUUAGUUGGUGGAUUGAUUUGUCUGGUUUAUUCCGAUUAACGAGCGAGACUCUAAUCUAUUAAAUAGAUGUCUUUAUUCUUUCGGGAGUGAAGUAUUCUUCUUAGAGAGACAAACAACG